GCGCUUCAUCGCUGGCUGGCUUCGCGCACCACACAGUGGCGAAACGACUGGAAAAAAUACGUACUCUCUCAACCCGUUAACCUGCGCUGCGAUGUCGAGUUGAUUUUUAAUCCCCCCGGUGCACGCUCGAAGCUCCAUUUUUUUAAAACGGACCAGCGCGCUAAAUAUGGCUAGCAAAGUAUGGCAUACAGAAUUGUGGAAGUCAUGGGAUAAGCAUGGAAAAAACGAUUUCCUCAAGCUAAUCAAGCACAAAUUUAAGGAAGGCAACACACCAGAAUGGAGACGUGGAAUAUACGAAUUAAUAUCAAAUGGAAUCCAUGGAAACGUAAAAAAGGACAGUGUGGUUCAGACAUUAGGUGAACUCGCGAGCUUUGACGCUUCCAUACCAUCUGCAAUAACAGAUAUAUUUACUUUGAAUGACGCCGAGGCACAUAAUGAAGAAAGGAACAAUUUUUAUUACAUUGUGAAAGAAUGUGAGAAGUUUUUGACCGAUAGAAUAUUGAAAGAACGUUUAGAGAUUGAAACUUUACAAGAUGUAGGGACAUUGAAAAACAAAAAUUUUCAAACCAAGUUCAUAAAAGUAAAAACAAAGCUGUAUUAUAAACAAAGGAAAUUUAAUUUAUUUCGCGAGGAGAGCGAGGGUUACUCCAAGCUCAUUGUAGAGUUAAAUCAGGAGCGUCCGGACAGUGAGGUGGCCUCGACAUUGGAAAUUGUUAAAUCCCUUAUUGGUUAUUUCAAUCUUGAUCCCAAUAGGGUCCUCGACAUCUUGUUAGAAACUUUCGAGAACCGAUCACAAGACGACGCUCUGUUUAUUCCCUUAAUACGUUCAUACAUGAGCGAUCAGCAGGUACUUUGCGAGGUGUUAGGAUUUAAGUACUGCUCCACCAUCAACGCCACGCCGUUCUCGCUGCAGAAGGUCACCGCGCUCAUGCUGCAGCACGGUGUGAUUAAACUGGACGACAUAUUACCUUGGCUAGUGCCGGACGAUAAAACUAUCAUAUCAGAUCACGAGCAGGUGAUGAAGCAGGCCAAGGAAUAUGUGCGGAAAUUGAGCGUCAUCUCGACGAAAGACAAGGAGGACAUUGUGGAGGAGAGGGAAAAUGCACAAGACAAGUAUGCAAGCAAUCAAAAAUUUGGUUUGUGCGAAGCACUUUUGGAAAUUGGAGCUUGGGAAGUGGCACAAAGUCUAUUCAAUCGCUUGCCAGAUUAUUGUUUUACGGAUCAACGUCCCAUCGCUCUGGCAUUAUGCAAAAUGAUCCAGGCUCUUAUCGAACCUGUAUACAGAAAACACUGUAUUAUCUCUCCAAAAUUGCCGGGUCGUAAAGUGCCUCCGUUAAAGAGCUCCCUCGCGCCGCCGUCGCUGUGCGAUCUGGAGGACAUCCACGAUCACCUGCUGCCGAUGCUAAUCGUACUUGGGCCGAAUCUGCACCAAGAUCCUAAUUUAAUGUACAAGGUGAUGAGACUGUGUCACACCGCUAUCAAGCACUGUCCGCUGGACGCGAGCAAGCAACCGUUGAACAAGAACUGCAGCCUGUACUACGACGUACUGACGAUACUCGAUGUCGCGCUGCUACCCUCCCUGUCCUUCAUGGACUGCAACUGCUGCGUCGCCGAGGAGCUGUGGAAUAUCCUCAAGUACUAUCCCUAUCAGAAUCGCUACUGUCUGUACGCGCGUUGGAAGAACGACACGCCGUUGCAGCACGCCGCGCUGCUGCGGAAGCGUGCGGAUGCUCAAAAGAAGAUCAAGUCGAUCAUGAAGCGCGUGAGCAAGGAGACGAUCAAGCCGGUCGGCCGGUCGAUAGGCAAGCUUACGCAUUCUUCGCCAGGUGUAUUAUUCGAUUACGUCCUCAUACAGAUCCAGUUGUAUGACAACCUGAUAGGACCUGUGGUGGACUCCUUAAAAUACUUGACCAACAUCUCGUACGACGUGUUGGGAUAUUGUCUCGUAGAGGCAUUAGCGGGCGCUGACAGAGAUAGAUUUAAACACGACGGCACCAGUAUAUCCUUAUGGCUGCAAUCUCUGGCUUCUUUUUGCGGCGCGAUAUUUAAGAAGUAUAACAUCGAAUUAACAGGGUUGUUACAAUACGUAGCGAAUCAACUUAAAGCUCAAAAGAGCCUAGAUCUAUUAAUAUUAAAAGAAAUAGUACAAAAAAUGGCUGGUAUCGAGGCGGCCGAAGAAAUGACGUCUGAUCAACUGGAUGCUAUGGCAGGCGGAGAUCUGUUGAAAAAUGAGGCCGGUUACUUCAGUCAAGUCCGCAACACGAAGAAAUCCUCGCAGCGUUUGAAGGAAGCUCUUGCCGAGCAAGAUCUCGCGGUCGCUCUGUGCCUGUUAAUGGCGCAGCAAAAACAUUGCGUUGUGUACAGAGAGACAGAUAAAUCUCACUUAAAACUCGUUGGCAAGUUGUACGAUCAAUGCCAGGAUACGCUAGUGCAAUUCGGGACUUUCCUGGGUUCGACUAUGACAGUAGACGAGUACGUGGAGCGACUACCUUCUAUCCAUUCUAUGCUCCAGGACAAUCAUAUACAUGCGGAUGUCGCAUUCUUUCUGGCGCGGCCAAUGUUCGCGCAUGCCAUAAAUAUAAAAUAUGAUGCUCUCCGUAAAGCUGAUCCGAACUACAAGAAAAUGUCCACGGCUAUGAAGCAAUUAAAGUACGCGGAAGCCGCGCAAACCGUUAUGGCACCUGUCGCUCAGUCUGUCAAGCCGUUGCACCCUCUGAAAGUUUGGGAGGACAUUUCGCCGCAAUUCUUAGUCACAUUUUGGUCUCUGUCGAUGUUUGAUCUGUACGUGCCAGUGGAAAGCUAUCAAAGAGAGAUCGGCAAGUUGAAGCAACUUGCAGCGCAAACCGCCGAUUCCAAAGACAUGAAUGUAAGUAAAGGAAAGAAAGAACAAGAAAGAUACACCACUCUUAUUGAGAAGCUGCAGGACGAAAAGAAGAAGCAAGAGGAACACGUUGAAAAAGUUUUUGCGUACCUGAGACAAGAAAAGGAUACAUGGUUCUUAUCACGAAGCGCUAAAUCUGCAAAAAACGAAACGAUAACACAGUUUCUACAGUUGUGCCUAUUCCCGCGGUGUACAUUCACAACUGUGGACGCCAUGUACUGCGCGAAAUUUGUACAUACCAUCCACUCCCUGAAGACUGCAAAUUUUUCAACUCUGCUUUGCUACGAUCGUCUUUUCUGUGAUAUUACAUAUUCAGUCACUUCGUGCACAGAGAACGAAGCAAAUCGUUAUGGCAGAUUUUUAUGCGCUAUGCUGGAAACUGUGAUGAGAUGGCAUUCCGAGAAGGCCAUAUUUGAUAAGGAAUGCAGUAAUUAUCCUGGUUUCGUGACUAAGUUCCGCGUGAGCAAUCAAUUUUCCGAAGCGAAUGAUAUGGUCGGAUUUGAAAAUUACAGACACGUGUGUCACAAGUGGCAUUAUAAGAUCACAAAGGCUAUUGUAGUGUGUCUAGAUUCUAAGGAUUAUGUGCAAAUAAGAAAUUCUUUGAUAAUAUUGAUCAAGAUAUUGCCACAUUUUCCCGUCUUGGCGAAACUCUCUCAGAUUCUCGAGCGAAAGGUGGAGAAGGUGAGGGAGGAGGAGCGUGGCCAGCGUCAGGACUUGCACGUCCUAGCCACGUCGUACAGUGGGCAACUGAAAGCUAAAACUCCCAAUAUGAUACGUGAAUCAGACUUUCACCAUGUAGGCGACAAAGCUGGUAAAACACAAGAUACAACGAAUAAUGAAACGAGUGAAAAGGUUAGCAAUGGAGUAACGGUGAAAGAAAAUAACAAUGGAGACGCUCGACCAGAAAAGGAAAACAAGGAGCAACGAGAAAAACGAAGUUCCUCCAAUCAAACGCAUCAUGAAAACUCCGAAAAGUUCAAAAAGAAAGAAGACAGUAAGGACGUUCCGGAACCAAAGGAGAAAUAUGCUAAAAAAGAAGAAGUGAAAGACGAUGAGGGAUUAGAUAAAAAGGAGCGCAAAUAUUAUAAGGAAGAGCACUAUUACAGCAGCAGUGUAGACAAUUUAGACCGAGAUCUUUCUAGUGUGUCAAAUAGUAGCGCUAGUUCGGGUCCUGUACAAGAAGGUCCUGAAAGAGAUAUAAAAAGAAGAAAAGUAGAGAGCGCUCCAAAGCAGGAAGGAAGACGUGCGGAGACUGUUCUUGAUAAGAAAGAACGUUCCAAAGGGAAAGCUCGUGACGAACAGAAAGAGCUGCGCAGGGAAAAGAAACAGGGACGAAAAAGGGAUCGGGCAGAGGAAUCCAUAGCAACCACCGAGCAAAAACGGAGAAAAGAUGACGAAAGAGCCAAAAGUGCGCAUCAGAACGGUGACAUUCCUGAGCAUAGAGAAAAGCAUCAUUACAGUAAGUUGAUAAAGAUGUCUACUUCGAGUAUAUUAAAAGGACGAAAUGGGCGGCAAUAGCAAAAAGCAAGAAAGUGUAGAUGUCAAUUAUUCCCUCCCCUGUCAGUCGCAAGAAAUCAUGGCAUUCGGAAGACUUAUUCAAGACAUGUAUUUUCAGGAAAAAUCUCCGUACGCAAAGGAUCGUCCUCAUGAACGCGAAGGGCGCGAAAGUCGUGAUAAACAGAGAAAAUACUAGUGCUCGGUAUAAUCCUUAAUUCAAGUGCACCAGAAGGAGUUCAGACCCGAAACGGAGAUGAUGUACAUCAACAACGGAGAGAAGCUCGACUUAACAUUUUCUAUGCUAUGUUUGAUGUUGCAUGUAAUGAACGUAGAAUUCAAAAAUAAAGCAGAAGGAUAGUCGGUAA